UACGUAGGGUGCGAGCGUUAAUCGGAAUUACUGGGCGUAAAGUGUGCGCAGGCGGCAGAGCAAGUCGAGUGUGAAAGCCCCGGGCUUAACUUGGGAAUUGCGCUCGAAACUACUUUGCUGGAGUGUGGCAGAGGAAGGUGGAAUUCCACGUGUAGCGGUGAAAUGCGUAGAGAUGUGGAGGAACACCAAUGGCGAAGGCAGCCUCUGGGCCAACACUGACGCUCAUGCACGAAGCGUGGGAGCAAACAGGA
rnacentral:rRNA from 1 species